AUAACAAUGAUAAAGGCGACCUUAUGGUCGCCACCUGUGUCACUUACUUAACACCCUUGGUUUGGCCGCCGAUCAGUUAAGCAGUGCGCAAAAUUGGUGUUACGCAUAGCUGGCUGUUAGCUUAGAUUCCUUACUAUCCCUACUAACAGUUUUUGUAACCUGCCUGGGCUUGAUGCUCAGGCUUUUUAUU
rnacentral:sRNA from 1 species